rnacentral:rRNA from 1 species
AAUAUUGGACAAUGGGCGCAAGCCUGAUCCAGCCAUGCCGCGUGAGUGAUGAAGGCCCUAGGGUUGUAAAGCUCUUUCACCGGGGAAGAUAAUUACGGUACCCGGAGAAGAAGCCCCGGCUAACUUCGUGCCAGCCGCCGCGGUAAUACGAAGGGGGCUAGCGUUGUUCGGAAUUACUGGGCGUAAAGCGCACGUAGGCGGAUUGUUAAGUGAGGGGUGAAAUCCCGGGGCUCAACCCCGGAACUGCCUCUCAUACUGGCAAUCUCGAGUUUGGGAGAGGUGAGUGGAAUUCCGAGUGUAGAGGUGAAAUUCGUAGAUAUUCGGAGGAACACCAGUGGCGAAGGCGGCUCACUGGCCCAAAACUGACGCUGAGGUGCGAAAGCGUGGGGAGCAAACAGG